rnacentral:rRNA from 1 species
GACGGGUGAGUAAUGUCUGGGAAACUGCCUGAUGGAGGGGGAUAACUACUGGAAACGGUGGCUAAUACCGCAUAACGUCGCAAGACCAAAGAGGGGGACCUUCGGGCCUCUUGCCAUCAGAUGUGCCCAGAUGGGAUUAGCUUGUUGGUGAGGUAACGGCUCACCAAGGCGACGAUCCCUAGCUGGUCUGAGAGGAUGACCAGCCACACUGGAACUGAGACACGGUCCAGACUCCUACGGGAGGCAGCAGUGGGGAAUAUUGCACAAUGGGCGCAAGCCUGAUGCAGCCAUGCCGCGUGUAUGAAGAAGGCCUUCGGGUUGUAAAGUACUUUCAGCGGGGAGGAAGGUGUUGUGGUUAAUAACCGCAGCAAUUGACGUUACCCGCAGAAGAAGCACCGGCUAACUCCGUGCCAGCAGCCGCGGUAAUACGGAGGGUGCAAGCGUUAAUCGGAAUUACUGGGCGUAAAGCGCACGCAGGCGGUCUGUCAAGUCGGAUGUGAAAUCCCCGGGCUCAACCUGGGAACUGCAUUCGAAACUGGCAGGCUUGAGUCUUGUAGAGGGGGGUAGAAUUCCAGGUGUAGCGGUGAAAUGCGUAGAGAUCUGGAGGAAUACCGGUGGCGAAGGCGGCCCCCUGGACAAAGACUGACGCUCAGGUGCGAAAGCGUGGGGAGCAAACAGGAUUAGAUACCCUGGUAGUCCACGCCGUAAACGAUGUCUACUUGGAGGUUGUGCCCUUGAGGCGUGGCUUCCGGAGCUAACGCGUUAAGUAGACCGCCUGGGGAGUACGGCCGCAAGGUUAAAACUCAAAUGAAUUGACGGGGGCCCGCACAAGCGGUGGAGCAUGUGGUUUAAUUCGAUGCAACGCGAAGAACCUUACCUGGUCUUGACAUCCACGGAAGUUUUCAGAGAUGAGAAUGUGCCUUCGGGAACCGUGAGACAGGUGCUGCAUGGCUGUCGUCAGCUCGUGUUGUGAAAUGUUGGGUUAAGUCCCGCAACGAGCGCAACCCUUAUCCUUUGUUGCCAGCGGUCCGGCCGGGAACUCAAAGGAGACUGCCAGUGAUAAACUG